UACGUAGGGUGCGGACGUGUCCGGAAUUAUUGGGCGUAAAGAGCUCGUAGGCGGUUUGUUGCGUCUAUCGUGAAAACCUGCAGCUUAACUGUGGGCUUGCGGUGGAUACGGGCAGACUUGAGUUCGGUAGGGGAGACUGGAAUUCCUGGUGUAGCGGUGAAAUGCGCAGAUAUCAGGAGGAACACCGGUGGCGAAGGCGGGUCUCUGGGCCGAUACUGACGCUGAGGAGCGAAGCGUGGGGAGCGAACAGG
rnacentral:rRNA from 1 species